rnacentral:rRNA from 2 species
CGAAAGCCUGACGGAGCAAUACCGCGUGAGGGAGGAAGGCUCUUGGGUUGUAAACCUCUUUUCUCAGGGAAGAACACAAUGACGGUACCUGAGGAAUAAGCAUCGGCUAACUCCGUGCCAGCAGCCGCGGUAAUACGGAGGAUGCAAGCGUUAUCCGGAAUGAUUGGGCGUAAAGCGUCCGCAGGUGGCUAUGUAAGUCUGCUGUUAAAGAGUGAGGCUCAACCUCAUAAGAGCAGUGGAAACUACAUGGCUAGAGUGCGUUCGGGGUAGAGGGAAUUCCUGGUGUAGCGGUGAAAUGCGUAGAUAUCAGGAAGAACACCGGUGGCGAAAGCGCUCUGCUAGGCCGCAACUGACACUGAGGGACGAAAGCUAGGGGAGCG